ACGUCAGUGCGGGAGCGAGUAGAGGAGCGCGCAGACCGGAGGAGAGGCAGAAGCUGGAGAACUGAGGAUGAAACCGGACUCACCUGAGAGCAGCAGCAGCGCUGACUCUCUACAAGGGCCCGAUGUAAACGCAGGACAAUUCUUCUGGAAAAUUCGUACCGACCUAAAGUUGAGGACAUUUCUCUCCAGAGUCUUCUUUGCUUUUCAACCAGAUCACGUCAGCAUCAAGUCGGGCUGCAGGACGAGAGUGUGAGAGGGGCUCUGUUUCUGUCUUUGGUUAUCUAGCUGUAUGAGUCUUAAAUACCUGUCAUAAAGCUAGAUAACCGAAAGUAGAAAUGACUUCCGAAACGUUGUGUUCAUUCCCGAAAAAAAGGGACUCCUCAGGCUUUAAACUCAAAAAGGCUUCCGAUUAACAACGUUGAAUGAUCGUGGUUUCCUGAGAAAAGGGUAGAACCAUCGUUAAAAGAAAACGAGGAGAGAGGGGGGGGAAACGGUUGGUCCGGAAUUGCCACCUCCUCCUCUCCCAUCCCCCCACAACUCACCCUUUCUACCCAAGAGCCUCUAAUGCCAUCUGCACUGCCAACGGGGGACACAUUGCCCGUGCCAGGAGGUGGACAAAGACCCUGCCAGAUCCCUGGAGUAUGGGCGCGCUCAAAGGAGCCAUCUUGGGAAAUGUUGCCGCGACACCUAAAAUGGCUGGGCUGGCAUACGAGGAUGGGACCGGACCUGCAAGCCUUUCUGUAGGAAGCUGCUUUGACACGAAGACAUUGUGGACCAAGCUCAAUGAAAUGUUGUCAUCGGGGACACAACAUGAAUUCAAGAGAUUCAUCAGUCGCCUAAACGAGGAGUCGUACUAUGUGUAGAAACAAAAUAGAUAUUCUGUAAGCCUGAAAUGUGUAACUCAAGAUGUGUCUGUUAUUCAUGAAAAUACCAAGUUUAUUUGAAGAUACUGUAUUAAAGAUAAAGUAUGUGCAAUUUGACAUGUUUACACAAAUCUAUCAUUUUCAAAAUUGCAAUUAAAAAAGCCUUGACAGUUCCUACUUCUCACUUACAUUAUGUGCAUUUUCAGAGCUAAUGCAUGUUUGAAUUAUCAUUUGAAUUCAUUGUAGUUGUAAUUGAUAGGAAUAAAUGCAACGAGUAUUGUUUUGAGUUCACUGCUGACACUUCUUUGAAAUAAAAAGAAUGGAAAUAUGAUCAAAUCUGUGUUACGGUCGUGUUUUAUUUUGGUGAUC
ensembl:lncRNA